AGCACUGAUUCCUUCCAGACCAGGCGGACUAGGAGUGACGAGCUCUCUAGCUUGUAGAUAAUGUUGCGGAUGCAGCUCGGGCACUUUGGACAUACGAGGCUGCAAAUUGUCUUGCGGAGGCUUUGCGAGUCUCGCUUGUGUUUGUGCUCCAAGAUACGAGUAUACUUUUGAUCAUGUUUCUUUAUCCUCUUCAGCUUUGGAUGGUACUGCCACUAUUCAUGUGACACUCAAGCUACUCAAGAUCUUACUUGAUAAGAG